rnacentral:misc_RNA from 1 species
GUGAAUUAAACAUGCUUGGUGUCUUCGCUUCGGCAAGGCCCUUGCUUAAAUCACAUCCUAACACCUGUGAACUGUAAGACGUAUGAUGAGGUCUUUGGCCAAGUCAUCGUCUGCCCAUUUUUAACAAACAAUUAAUGUAACAAACAUAGUCUUAUUAUAACCUAAUA